rnacentral:rRNA from 1 species
GACGAACGCUGGCGGCGCGCCUAACACAUGCAAGUCGAACGAGCGAGAGGGAGCUUGCUUUCUCGAGCGAGUGGCGAACGGGUGAGUAACGCGUGAGGAACCUGCCUCAAAGAGGGGGACAACAGUUGGAAACGACUGCUAAUACCGCAUAAGCCCACGGGUCGGCAUCGACCAGAGGGAAAAGGAGCAAUCCGCUUUGAGAUGGCCUCGCGUCCGAUUAGCUAGUUGGUGAGGUAACGGCCCACCAAGGCGACGAUCGGUAGCCGGACUGAGAGGUUGAACGGCCACAUUGGGACUGAGACACGGCCCAGACUCCUACGGGAGGCAGCAGUGGGGAAUAUUGCACAAUGGGGGAAACCCUGAUGCAGCGACGCCGCGUGGAGGAAGAAGGUCUUCGGAUUGUAAACUCCUGUUGUUGAGGAAGAUAAUGACGGUACUCAACAAGGAAGUGACGGCUAACUACGUG